rnacentral:lncRNA from 1 species
AAAAGGUCUCACUCCAUAAAUCAUUUCUCAGCCACUAGUUGUUAUUUAUUUUUCAGCCACUAGUUGUUAUUUAUUUUUCGUCUGGGAUAUUUUUGGCUUGGACUCAUCAUUCUAGUCUACUAAUUUCACUCUAAACUAAGGUAUAACCAUGUUUUCAUAUUUACUAGUCGGAUUUCAUUUUCAUAUAUCAACCUCUGCACCUGAUAUCUCAAAACCUCUUUCCUCUUAAUAUAUAUUUAAAAGGUCUCACUCCAUAAAUCAUUUCUCAGCCACUAGUUGUUAUUUAUUUUUCGUCUGGGAUAUUUUUGGCUUGGACUCAUCAUUCUAGUCUACUAAUUUCACUCUAAACUAAGGAUUUCGUGACCGUCUACACGUAUUCGGUUAUCUCAGUUUUGUGAUCAUCGCUUAAGGUUAUCAAGACAAUCUGGGACGGGAUAUAGAACAGUGCUCGAGUAUAUGAA